rnacentral:lncRNA from 1 species
GCUCUCUAAGGCCAGCCCUGCCUUUCACUUGCCUCGCUCCAGCCAAAGGAGAAGCGGGGUAAGCAAGGAGAUGUCCCUACCAUUGCUUGAACAAAGCAGACUGACUGCGCACAAAUGCACAGGUGGUAAAACAGCUGCCUACAAAAGCCGCUCGCAAGAGUGCGCCCUCUACUGGAGGGAUGAAGAAACCUCCUCGUUACAGGCCUGGUACUGUGGCACUCCGGAAAAUCUGACGCUAUCAGAAGUCCACUGAACUUCUGAUUCACAAGCUCCCCAUUCAGCGUCUAGUAUGAGAAAGGUGCUCAGGACUUCAAAAUAGAUCUGCACUUCCAGAGUGCAGCUAGUGGUGCUUUGCAGGAGGCAAGUGGGGUCUAUCUAGUUGGCCUUUUUGAAGAUACCAACCUAUGUGCUAUUCAUGCCAAACAAUUAUGCCAAAAGAUAUCCAGCUAGCAUGCCGCAUAUGCAGAGAACAUGCUUAAGAGUCCACUGUGAGGAGAAACAUCUCAUUCCCCCCAAAUUUUUUCCUCUUCUUCCUGUUAUCAGUAGUUCUGAAUGUUAGAUAUUUUUUCCAUGGGGUCAAAAGGUACCAGAGUAUAUGAUUGAAUGGAAACUCAAGGGACAGAAUCAAAUAUUGGCAGCUUCCCCACUUUUAUUUGUGUGUGAAUUUUUAAUAUUAGUGCUAAAUGCAAAGCAUUAAUGCAAGCAAAAUGUUUCAGUGAACACAUUUCAACAGUUCAACCCGAUAACAGUUAUAAAUUAACCUGUUAAAAAUUUCUGGACAAUGCCAGCAUUUGGAUUUUUAAAAAAUAAGUAAAUUUCUCAUUGAUGGCAAGCAGCUAAGUGGUGUUUGUAACAUUUUUAUCAUGCAGUAGAUUCCAUACAUUCACUAUACUUUCUAACUGAGUUGUCCUACAUGCAAGAACAUGCUUUUAAAGGUCUUCUAUGCUGUUCCUGUAAGUGUGCUAUUAAAAUACAUGAAACUA